UGUAAUAGUCUAUGACAUAGAGUCUCUUGAUCGACUCUAGCCUUAGGAUUAUCAUUUGCCUUCCCCUCUAUGCCGAACAAUGUACCAAAAAUGGCAUCUCUGAUAUUCUUUUCAAUGUGCAUCAUGUCGAUGUUGUGUGAAAGGAGGUCUUUGAAGUAAGGAAAAUCCCACAAGCAUGUCUUCUGAGUCGAGGCAUGUUCUCAAUUAUAC
rnacentral:lncRNA from 1 species